GAUGAACGCUGGCGGCGUGCCUAAUACAUGCAAGUCGAGCGAACGGACGAGAAGCUUGCUUCUCUGAUGUUAGCGGAGGACGGGUGAGUAACACGUGGAUAACCUACCUAUAAGACUGGGAUAACUUCGGGAAACCGGCGCUAAUACCGGAUAAUAUUUUGAACCGCAUGGUUCAAAAGUGAAAGACGGUCUUGCUGUCACUUAUAGAUGGAUCCGCGCUGCAUUAGCUAGUUGGUAAGGUAACGGCUUACCAAGGCAACGAUGCAUAGCCGACCUGAGAGGGUGAUCGGCCACACUGGAACUGAGACACGGUCCAGACUCCUACGGGAGGCAGCAGUAGGGAAUCUUCCGCAAUGGGCGAAAGCCUGACGGAGCAACGCGGCGUGAGUGAUGAAGGUCUUCGGAUCGUAAAACUCUGUUAUUAGGGAAGAACAUAUGUGUAAGUAACUGUGCACAUCUUGACGGUACCUAAUCAGAAAGCCACGGCUAACUACGUG
rnacentral:rRNA from 1 species